GAUGAACGCUGGCGGCGUGCCUAAUACAUGCAAGUCGAGCGAACAGAUCAGGAGCUUGCUCCUUUGACGUUAGCGGCGGACGGGUGAGUAACACGUGGGUAACCUACCUAUAAGACUGGGAUAACUUCGGGAAACCGGAGCUAGUACCGGAUAAUCUUUCGAACCGCAUGGUUCGAUAGUGAAAGAUGGUUUUGCUAUCACUUAUAGAUGGACCCGCGCCGUAUUAGCUAGUUGGUAAGGUAACGGCUUACCAAGGCGACGAUACGUAGCCGACCUGAGAGGGUGAUCGGCCACACUGGAACUGAGACACGGUCCAGACUCCUACGGGAGGCAGCAGUAGGGAAUCUUCCGCAAUGGGCGGAAGCCUGACGGAGCAACGCCGCGUGAGUGAUGAAGGUCUUCGGAUCGUAAAACUCUGUUAUUAGGGAAGAACAUACGUGUAAGUAACUGUGCACGUCUUGACGGUACCUAAUCAGAAAGCCACGGCUAACUACGUG
rnacentral:rRNA from 1 species